rnacentral:rRNA from 1 species
GUGAGGAAUAUUGGUCAAUGGGCGGAAGCCUGAACCAGCCAUCCCGCGUGAAGGAAGAAGGCCUUAUGGGUUGUAAACUUCUUUUCUGUUUGAAGAAUAAGCUUGUCGAGACAAGUGAUGCCGGUAGGACAGGAAUAAGCAUCGGCUAACUCCGUGCCAGCAGCCGCGGUAAUACGGAGGAUGCAAGCGUUAUCCGGAUUUAUUGGGUUUAAAGGGUGCGCAGGUGGUUUAAUAAGUCAGUGGUGAAAGUCUGCCGCUUAACGGUAGGAUUGCCAUUGAUACUGUUGGACUUGAAUAUGGAUGAGGUAGGCGGAAUGUGUAGUGUAGCGGUGAAAUGCUUAGAUAUUACACAGAACACCGAUUGCGAAGGCAGCUUACUAAUCCAUGAUUGACGCUGAGGCACGAAAGCGUGGGGAUCAAACAGGAUUAGAAACCCCAGUAGUCC